CUAAAGAUGAAAUUGGUAUGUGCUUGAACUUAAGUUCUCCAUGCAAGCUCCUCUCGUUUCACAAAUCUGCACAAGGGAAAUAUCCUAUGCGAUGGCUAUACCUUCACGGCUUCAUUGGGAUAAGAUGAAACGCAAAUGUUUUUAGAAAAGCUGUAAUACUCCAAAAAGCCGGUUGCGAUGUCGUGGAACGACUUCCACCGAAGCGAAGAGGCUUUGCAUACAACAAGAGGAACUUGUUUUCAUCUCGCCAUGAACUGCUCUUUAGGAACCGAAUCUUUCUUUAGGCUUAGUUGUCGUUUCAGUUUUUAGUUUUCCUAAACUUAUCAAAGGGUUACUGAAAGGAUUACCGGAUUGAAACAUUUCUUGAUUAGUACAACGUAAAAGAAACGUACAAUUUGUUGACGUGAGAGCAAGCUUUGGAAAAGAAACAAACGAACAACGCGUAUUGCCAGAGUGAAAAAAAUUGUCGUUUUUUUAACGUAAUCAAAUAUUAUCAUAUUAUCAAAUGUAACGUAUCAUAUACACUUAAAAAACAGAAAAUUAAAAAAUUCGUGUCAUGUUAUAAAAA